UUCAACGGGAGAAUUGCAUCUGAAACUACGAAUCUUGAGUGCAGGAGGGGAGAAUGGAACUUCUGGUGGAGCGGUAAAAUGCGUAGAUAUCAGAAGGAACGCCGGCGGCGAAAGCGAUUCUCUGGCCUAUUACUGACACUCAGUGUGCGAAAGCUAGGGGAGCAAACGGGAUUAGAUACCCCGGUAGUCCUAGCCGUAAACGAUGGGCACUAAGUAGAGGGGAUUACCGACGUUCUCUCUGCCGUAGCUAACGCAUUAAGUGCCCCGCCUGGGGAGUACGGCCGCAAGGCUAAAACUCAAAAGAAUUGACGGGGGCUCGCACAAGCGGUGGAGCAUGUGGCUUAAUUCGAUGCAACGCGAAGAACCUUACCGGGGCUUGACAUGGUAGAAGUAGGAACCCGAAAGGGUAACGAACGGUAUCCAGUCCGUGACUAUCACAGGUGUUGCGUGGCUGUCGUCAGCUCGUGUCGUGAGACGUUGGGUUAAGUCCCCUAACGAGCGAAACCCUUGUUUUUAGUUACCAGCGGGUUAUGCCGGGUACUCUAGAAAGACUGCCGUCGUCAAGACGGAGGAAGGUGGGGAUGACGUCAAGUCAUCAUGGCCCUUAUGCCCCGGGCUGCACACGUGCUACAAUGGUCGGUACAAACGGAAGCGAAGCCGAGAGGUGAAGCGAAUCCAAGC
rnacentral:rRNA from 1 species